AAUCAUACUGUGAAACUGCGAAUGGCUCAUUAAAUCAGUUAUCGUUUAUUUGAUAGUACCUUUACCUGGAUAACCGUGGUAAUUCUAGAGCUAAUACAUGCUAAAAACCCCGACUUCGGAAGGGGUGUAUUUAUUAGAUAAAAAACCAAUGCCCUCUGGGCUCCUUGGUGAUUCAUAAUAACUUAACGAAUCGCAUGGCCUUGCGCCGGCGAUGGUUCAUUCAAAUUUCUGCCCUAUCAACUUUCGAUUGUAAGAUAGAGGCUUACAAUGGUCUUAACGGGUAACGGGGAAUUAGGGUUCUAUUCCGGAGAGGGAGCCUGAGAAACGGCUACCACAUCCAAGGAAGGCAGCAGGCGCGCAAAUUACCCAAUGCUAAUUCAGCGAGGUAGUGACAAUAAAUACUGAUACGGGGCUCUUUCGGGUCUCGUAAUUGGAAUGAGUACAAUCUAAAUCCCUUAACGAGGAACAAUUGGAGGGCAAGUCUGGUGCCAGCAGCCGCGGUAAUUCCAGCUCCAAUAGCGUAUAUUAAAGUUGUUGCCGUUAAAAAGCUCGUAGUUGAACCUUGGACCUGGCUGAUCUGUCCUCCUAAUCGAGCGCACGGAUUCGGUCGGGUCUUUCCUUCUGGGGAGCCCUAUGCCCUUCACUGGGUGUAGUGGGGAACCAGGACUUUUACCUUGAAAAAAUUAGAGUGUUCAAAGCAGGCCUUUGCUCGAAUACAUUAGCAUGGAAUAAUAGAAUAGGACAUCGGUUCUAUUUUGUUGGUUUCUAGGACCGCUGUAAUGAUUAAUAGGGAUAGUCGGGGGCGUCAGUAUUCAAUUGUCAGAGGUGAAAUUCUUGGAUUUAUUGAAGACUAACUACUGCGAAAGCAUUCGCCAAGGAUGUUUUCAUUAAUCAGUGAACGAAAGUUAGGGGAUCGAAGACGAUCAGAUACCGUCGUAGUCUUAACCAUAAACUAUGCCGACUAAGGAUCGGACGGUGGUUUUUUUAUGCCCCGUUCGGCACUUUACGAGAAAUCAAAGUUUUGGGCUCGGGGGGAGUA
rnacentral:rRNA from 1 species